rnacentral:piRNA from 1 species
UAUGUAUGGGAAUGAUGUGAUUGUAUACA